CACGACCUACGGGGCGCAGCAGUGGGGAAUAUUGCACAAUGGGGGAAACCCUGAUGCAGCGACGCCGCGUGAGUGAAGAAGUAUUUCGGUAUGUAAAGCUCUAUCGGCAGGAACGAGACAAGACGGUACCUGACUAAGAAGCCCCGGCUAACUACGUGCCAGCAGCCGCGGUAAUACGUAGGGGGCAAGCGUUAUCCGGAAUCACUGGGUGUAAAGGGAGCGUAGACGGCUGGGCAAGCCUGAAGUGAAAGGCGGGGGGCCAACCCCCGGACUGCUUUGGGGAC
rnacentral:rRNA from 1 species